CACAUCCUGAAGUAUUCGUAUAUGCCUAUAUAAAUUCAACCUACAAAUUGUAUACGGGAGCUUGAGUUCUAUACUGGAUGACAUGCCACCUUAGGAAGUGGAAGACAGAAUGUAUAGACAAAGCACCCACCUAGGUGAACCUGGGUGUGAAUUUAGUAGGUAAACGGUACUUCGGGUUAAAG
rnacentral:other from 1 species